GCCGGGUGCAGUGGCGCAUACCUGCAAUCCCAGCAUCUCAGGAGGCUGAGACAGGAGGAUCACAAGUUAAAAACCAGCCUCAGCAAUGGCAAGGCACUAAGCAACUCAGUGAGACCCUGUCUCUA
rnacentral:sRNA from 1 species